rnacentral:rRNA from 1 species
UACGGGGGGAGCAAGCGUUGUUCGGAUUUACUGGGCGUAAAGGGCGCGUAGGCGGCCUCUGCAAGUCGACUGUGAAAUCUCCGGGCUUAACCCGGAAAGGUCAGCCGAUACUGCAGGGCUAGAGUGCAGAAGGGGCAACUGGAAUUCUCGGUGUAGCGGUGAAAUGCGUAGAUAUGUGGAGGAACACCUGUGGCGAAGGCGCCUUGCUGGCCAAUUUCUGACGCUGAGGCGCGAAAGCGUGGGGAGCAAACAGG